UACAGAGGGUGCGAGCGUUAAUCGGAAUUACUGGGCGUAAAGCGCGCGUAGGCGGCUUUGCAAGUCGGGUGUGAAAUCCCCAGGCUUAACCUGGGAACUGCAUUCGAGACUGCAUUGCUAGAGUAUGGGAGAGGGAAGUGGAAUUUCCGGUGUAGCGGUGAAAUGCGUAGAUAUCGGAAGGAACAUCAGUGGCGAAGGCGCUCUACUGGACCACAACUGACACUCAGGGACGAAAGCUAGGGGAGCGAAUGGG
rnacentral:rRNA from 1 species